CCGCCUUCCCUACGCUCGCUUCGCCGGCGACAGAAGCAGACAGAACCAGCAUCUGGUCCCUUGGGUGGUGGAGGUCGUUGUCUUCUUGUUUUGGCUGUUAGUUCAGUUGGGUGUUACAGUCAGCUUCCUUCACUGUCGGUCCCAGGUGCUUCCUUCGGCCCUGUUCUUUCAGUGAAAUUAGAAUUUUAUGGUGGUGGUUAUUAUUGUUUUAUGUGGUUUUUUAGAAUUGUCGAAGCUGAAUACUAGGGAUUUAGAAUGGUAUUUCUUCAUUGUUCAUGGUAUUUCAUUACUGUAAAUUUUUACUACACUUGAAAAGUUAUCAUAGUUGAAUUUGUUGUUGUAAAUUAUCAUUGAGUUAAAUUUGUUGUUGUGAGUUGAAUUGUUGCUGAACAUAUCACUGAGCAAGUUUUUUUAUUGCUAGAUAACAUUACUGUUCUUUUGUUUCUAAUUUGCUGAAUUGUUGCCC